rnacentral:rRNA from 1 species
CACUCCUACGGGAGGCAGCAGUGGGGAAUUUUGGACAAUGGGCGAAAGCCUGAUCCAGCAAUGCCGCGUGAGUGAAGAAGGCCUUCGGGUUGUAAAGCUCUUUUGUCAGGGAAGAAACGGUGAAAGCUAAUAUCUUUUGCUAAUGACGGUACCUGAAGAAUAAGCACCGGCUAACUACGUGCCAGCAGCCGCGGUAAUACGUAGGGUGCAAGCGUUAAUCGGAAUUACUGGGCGUAAAGCGUGCGCAGGCGGUUUUGUAAGUCUGAUGUGAAAUCCCCGGGCUCAACCUGGGAAUUGCAUUGGAGACUGCAAGGCUAGAAUCUGGCAGAGGGGGGUAGAAUUCCACGUGUAGCAGUGAAAUGCGUAGAUAUGUGGAGGAACACCGAUGGCGAAGGCAGCCCCCUGGGUCAAGAUUGACGCUCAUGCACGAAAGCGUGGGGAGCAAACAGGAUUAGAAACCCGAGUAGUCCCAUG